CCUACGGGUGGCAGCAGUGAGGAAUAUUGGUCAAUGGUCGGGAGACUGAACCAGCCAAGCCGCGUGAGGGAGGAAGGUACAGAGUAUCGUAAACCUCUUUUGUCAGGGAACAAAGGCGGGGACGUGUCCUCGGAUGAGUGUACCUGAAGAAUAAGCAUCGGCUAACUCCGUGCCAGCAGCCGCGGUAAUACGGAGGAUGCGAGCGUUAUCCGGAUUUAUUGGGUUUAAAGGGUGCGCAGGCGGUUUUUUAAGUCAGCGGUGAAAGCCCGGGGCUCAACCCCGGCGCGGCCGUUAAAACGGGCAGACUCGAGUUGGGGUGAAGUAGGCGGAAUGCGCGGUGUAGCGGUGAAAUGCAUAGAUAUCGCGCAGAACUCCGAUUGCGAAGGCAGCAUGCCGGCUCCACACUGACGCUGAGGCACGAAAGCGUGGGUAUCGAACAGGAUUAGAUACCCGUGUAGUC
rnacentral:rRNA from 1 species